rnacentral:rRNA from 1 species
UACGAAGGGGCUAGCGUUGUUCGGAUUUACUGGGCGUAAAGCGCACGUAGGCGGAUCGUUAAGUCGAGGGUGAAAUCCUGGAGCUCAACUCCAGAACUGCCUUCGAUACUGGCGAUCUAGAGUCCGGAAGAGGUGAGUGGAACUCCUAGUGUAGAGGUGGAAUUCGUAGAUAUUAGGAAGAACACCAGUGGCGAAGGCGGCUCACUGGUCCG